GAUGAACGCUGGCGGCAUGCUUAACACAUGCCAGUCGGACGGGAAGUGGUGUUUCCAGUGGCGGACGGUUGAGUAACUCGUAAGAACCUGCCCUUGGGAGGGGAACAACAGCUGGAAACGGCUGCUAAUACCCCGUACGCUGAGGAGCAAAAGGAGGAAUCCGCCCGAGGAGGGGCUCGCGUCUGAUUAUCUAUUUGUUGUGUCAAUAGCUUACCAAGGCGAUGAUCAGUAGCUGGUCCGAGAGGAUGAUCAGCCACACUGGGACUGAGACACGGACCAGACAACGACGGGAGGCAGAAGAGGGGAAUUUACAGCAAUGGGCGAAAGCAUGACGGAGCAAUGCAGCGUGGAGGUAGAAGGACUACGGGUAGUGAACUUCUUUUACAGGAGAAGAAGCAAUGACGGUAACUGGGGAAUAAGCAUCGGCUAACUCUGUG
rnacentral:rRNA from 1 species